CCCAACUAUCCCUAUUAAUCAUUACGGUGGUCCUUGAACCAACAAAUAGAACCACGACGUCCUAUUCUAUUAUUCCAUGCUAAUCUAUUCAAGCAAAAGCCUGCUUUAAACACUCUAAUUUUUUCAAGGUAAUGGUCCUGGCUCCCCGGCACGCCCAAUUAAGAACAUACCGAUUCACCAGAAAGAUAGACCCGACGACAGAACAGUACUCGCCAGAGACGGACCGUCCGGCCAGGCCUAAAAUUCAACUACGAGCUUUUUAACUGCAACAACUUUAAUAUACGCUAUUGGAGCUGGAAUUACCGCGGCUGCUGGCACCAGACUUGCCCUCCAA
rnacentral:misc_RNA from 1 species